CAUGGUCUUCUGGGAAAGCCUUUGCGGCAUGGGAUGGGGUCGCGUCCUAUCAGCUUGAUGGCGGGGUAACGGCCCACCAUGGCUUCGACGGGUAGCCGGCCUGAGAGGGCGACCGGCCACAUUGGGACUGAGAUACGGCCCAGACUCCUACGGGAGGCAGCAGUGGGGAAUAUUGCACAAUGGGCGCAAGCCUGAUGCAGCGACGCCGCGUGAGGGAUGGAGGCCUUCGGGUUGUAAACCUCUUUUGUUAGGGAGCAAGGCAUUUUGUGUUGAGUGUACCUUUCGAAUAAGCACCGGCUAACUACGUGCCAGCAGCCGCGGUAAUACGUAGGGUGCAAGCGUUAUCCGGAAUUAUUGGGCGUAAAGGGCUCGUAGGCGGUUCGUCGCGUCCGGUGUGAAAGUCCAUCGCUUAACGGUGGAUCCGCGCCGGGUACGGGCGGGCUUGAGUGCGGUAGGGGAGACUGGAAUUCCCGGUGUAACGGUGGAAUGUGUAGAUAUCGGAAAGAACACCA
rnacentral:rRNA from 1 species